UCGUCAAACUCGGGGGGGAGUAUCAUAAACUCUUCCCGACACUUCUGUCGCUUUGGCCAGAAGAUGUCAAACCAUGAGCACGAUAGAUCUGUCGCUUCGGCCAGAUCAAUCGAGGAUUUAUUGAGCACGGGAAGGAGCGGCACGAGGAGCAGCCCCUCACGGCAAGGUCAGUAAGUCAAUAGUAAAUAUAUCCUUUAGGCUGAUACAGUUGUUUUGCAGGUUAUUUUUGUUUUGCAGGAACGAUCCUGUCGCUUUGGCCAGGAUCCAC
rnacentral:lncRNA from 1 species